AUGGUUUUGAUAUCCGUCCCCGUCGGCCCUCAUCUGGGUUAUGAUUCGGAUGUGGAGGUAUGUGAACCGGAAAUUCCAACCGACCCUAUUUUCGAGAGGUUAAAUUCAGUUGAAAAAGAAAACGAGUAUUUGAAGGAAAAAUUGAAAAGAAUUGAGGGGGAGAAGAUGGAAUUGGAGUUGCAUGUUGCCGAUGUCGUCGAUGAUCACAAGAUCAAGAUGGAGAAAAUACGCUUGAAGAUUAGAAAGAUUAAAAAAUAUGCCAUUGAUAGUGAGGCUUGCUAUCUAUAUGCUGUUGGACCAAUUGUUACCUUAGUUGCGAUCUUGAUCGCAUUUGUUGUUGCAUUUAAAUGCUUUAGCUAG
rnacentral:rRNA from 1 species